UAUCUGUGCAUAUCCCUAAACUAAUGGU
rnacentral:piRNA from 1 species